rnacentral:rRNA from 1 species
GACGAACGCUGGCGGCGUGCUUAACACAUGCAAGUCGAACGGAAAGGCCCUGCUUUUGUGGGGUGCUCGAGUGGCGAACGGGUGAGUAACACGUGAGUAACCUGCCCUUGACUUUGGGAUAACUUCAGGAAACUGGGGCUAAUACCGGAUAGGAGCUCCUGCUGCAUGGUGGGGGUUGGAAAGUUUCGGCGGUUGGGGAUGGACUCGCGGCUUAUCAGCUUGUUGGUGGGGUAGUGGCUUACCAAGGCUUUGACGGGUAGCCGGCCUGAGAGGGUGACCGGCCACAUUGGGACUGAGAGACGGCCCAGACUCCUACGGGAGGCAGCAGUGGGGAAUAUUGCACAAUGGGCGGAAGCCUGAGGCAGCAACGCCGCGGGCGGGAUGACGGCCUUCGGGUUGUAAACCGCUUUCGCCUGUGACGAAGCGUGAGUGACGGUAAUGGGUAAAGAAGCACCGGCUAACUACGUG